CACAUAUUACUAGAUGCAGGCUUGAAGGCUUUAUGCCACAGCUAUUAAGCGCUGACACAGCACUACAGCUGUUUACUAAGCUGACACAGCACUUCAGCAGUUUGAGAAUCUUCUGUUGCCAUCAAAAACUUAUGUUGCCAUCUCUAGAACAGUACAAAGAAAGCUUGUAAAUAAGAGAUAAUUAACCGCACAAGAUUUGGCAUAGGUUCUGGUGGUCCUGAACAGUCUGGCCAACUGCCAGGUCCAUCCAGCUGCUUGUAUCAAGGUCUUUUGCUGGGCUGCACUGAUAAGGAACUACUGAUUGUCCUUGAAGACAGGUGUAUAUAAGACUAAGGAAAUCUUGCGCUCACUUGGAGAACUACCCACCUGCAAUGCGGACGCGUGUUACUGGUUUCUGCUAUUCC